UUAAGCGACUAAGCGUACACGGUGGAUGCCCUGGCAGUCAGAGGCGAUGAAGGACGUGCUAAUCUGCGAAAAGCGUCGGUAAGGUGAUAUGAACCGUUAUAACCGGCGAUGUCCGAAUGGGGAAACCCAGUGCAAUUCGUUGCACUAUCGUUAACUGAAUACAUAGGUUAACGAGGCGAACCGGGGGAACUGAAACAUCUAAGUACCCCGAGGAAAAGAAAUCAACCGAGAUUCCCCCAGUAGCGGCGAGCGAACGGGGAGCAGCCCAGAGUCUGAAUCAGCUUGUGUGUUAGUGGAACGGUCUGGAAAGUCCGACGGUACAGGGUGAUAGUCCCGUACACCAAAAUGCACAGGUUGUGAACUCGAAGAGUAGGGCGGGACACGUGGUAUCCUGUCUGAAUAUGGGGGGGACCAUCCUCCAAGGCUAAAUACUCCUGACUGACCGAUAGUGAACCAGUACCGUGAGGGAAAGGCGAAAAGAACCCCGGCGAGGGGAGUGAAAAAGAACCUGAAACCGUGUACGUACAAGCAGUGGGAGCACCUUCGGGUGUGACUGCGUACCUUUUGUAUAAUGGGUCAGCGACUUAUAUUCUGUAGCAAGGUUAACCGUAUAGGGGAGCCGCAGGGAAACCGAGUCUUAACUGGGCGUUAAGUUGCAGGGUAUAGACCCGAAACCCGGUGAUCUAGCCAUGGGCAGGUUGAAGGUUGGGUAACACUAACUGGAGGACCGAACCGACUAAUGUUGAAAAAUUAGCGGAUGACUUGUGGCUGGGGGUGAAAGGCCAAUCAAACCGGGAGAUAGCUGGUUCUCCCCGAAAGCUAUUUAGGUAGCGCCUCGUGAAUUCAUCUUCGGGGGUAGAGCACUGUUUCGGCUAGGGGGUCAUCCCGACUUACCAACCCGAUGCAAACUACGAAUACCGAAGAAUGUUAUCACGGGAGACACACGGCGGGUGCUAACGUCCGUCGUGAAGAGGGAAACAACCCAGACCGCCAGCUAAGGUCCCAAAGUCAUGGUUAAGUGGGAAACGAUGUGGGAAGGCACAGACAGCCAGGAUGUUGGCUUAGAAGCAGCCAUCAUUUAAAGAAAGCGUAAUAGCUCACUGGUCGAGUCGGCCUGCGCGGAAGAUGUAACGGGGCUAAACCAUGCACCGAAGCUGCGGCAGCGACACUAUGUGUUGUUGGGUAGGGGAGCGUUCUGUAAGCCUGCGAAGGUGACCUGUGAGGGUUGCUGGAGGUAUCAGAAGUGCGAAUGCUGACAUAAGUAACGAUAAAGCGGGUGAAAAGCCCGCUCGCCGGAAGACCAAGGGUUCCUGUCCAACGUUAAUCGGGGCAGGGUGAGUCGACCCCUAAGGCGAGGCCGAAAGGCGUAGUCGAUGGGAAACAGGUUAAUAUUCCUGUACUUGGUGUUACUGCGAAGGGGGGACGGAGAAGGCUAUGUUAGCCGGGCGACGGUUGUCCCGGUUUAAGCAUGUAGGCUGAUUGUCCAGGCAAAUCCGGAUAAUCAAGGCUGAGGUGUGAUGACGAGGCACUACGGUGCUGAAGUAACAAAUGCCCUGCUUCCAGGAAAAGCCUCUAAGCAUCAGGUAACAUUAAAUCGUACCCCAAACCGACACAGGUGGUCAGGUAGAGAAUACCAAGGCGCUUGAGAGAACUCGGGUGAAGGAACUAGGCAAAAUGGUGCCGUAACUUCGGGAGAAGGCACGCUGGUGUGUAGGUGAAGUCCCUGCGGAUGGAGCUGAGACCAGUCGAAGAUACCAGCUGGCUGCAACUGUUUAUUAAAAACACAGCACUGUGCAAACACGAAAGUGGACGUAUACGGUGUGACGCCUGCCCGGUGCCGGAAGGUUAAUUGAUGGGGUUAUCCGUAAGGAGAAGCUCUUGAUCGAAGCCCCGGUAAACGGCGGCCGUAACUAUAACGGUCCUAAGGUAGCGAAAUUCCUUGUCGGGUAAGUUCCGACCUGCACGAAUGGCGUAAUGAUGGCCAGGCUGUCUCCACCCGAGACUCAGUGAAAUUGAACUCGCUGUGAAGAUGCAGUGUACCCGCGGCAAGACGGAAAGACCCCGUGAACCUUUACUAUAGCUUGACACUGAACAUUGAGCCUUGAUGUGUAGGAUAGGUGGGAGGCUUUGAAGCGUGGACGCCAGUCUGCGUGGAGCCAACCUUGAAAUACCACCCUUUAAUGUUUGAUGUUCUAACGUUGGCCCCUUACCGGGGUUGCGGACAGUGUCUGGUGGGUAGUUUGACUGGGGCGGUCUCCUCCCAAAGCGUAACGGAGGAGCACGAAGGUUAGCUAAUCCUGGUCGGACAUCAGGAGGUUAGUGCAAUGGCAUAAGCUAGCUUGACUGCGAGCGUGACGGCGCGAGCAGGUGCGAAAGCAGGUCAUAGUGAUCCGGUGGUUCUGAAUGGAAGGGCCAUCGCUCAACGGAUAAAAGGUACUCCGGGGAUAACAGGCUGAUACCGCCCAAGAGUUCAUAUCGACGGCGGUGUUUGGCACCUCGAUGUCGGCUCAUCACAUCCUGGGGCUGAAGUAGGUCCCAAGGGUAUGGCUGUUCGCCAUUUAAAGUGGUACGCGAGCUGGGUUUAGAACGUCGUGAGACAGUUCGGUCCCUAUCUGCCGUGGGCGCUGGAGAAUUGAGGGGGGCUGCUCCUAGUACGAGAGGACCGGAGUGGACGCAUCACUGGUGUUCGGGUUGUCAUGCCAAUGGCACUGCCCGGUAGCUAAAUGCGGAAGAGAUAAGUGCUGAAAGCAUCUAAGCACGAAACUUGCCCCGAGAUGAGUUCUCCCUGAGACUUUAAGUCUCCUGAAGGAACGUUGAAGACGACGACGUUGAUAGGCCGGGUGUGUAAGCGCAGCGAUGCGUUGAGCUAACCGGUACUAAUGAACCGUGAGGCUUAACCUU
rnacentral:rRNA from 2 species